rnacentral:rRNA from 1 species
AACGAACGCUGGCGGCAUGCCUAACACAUGCAAGUCGAACGAGACCUUCGGGUCUAGUGGCGCACGGGUGCGUAACGCGUGGGAACCUGCCCUUAGGUUCGGAAUAACUCCCCGAAAGGGGUGCUAAUACCGGAUAAUGUCUUCGGACCAAAGAUUUAUCGCCUUUGGAUGGGCCCGCGUUGGAUUUGCUAGUUGGUAGGGUAAAAGCCUACCAAGGCGACGAUCCAUAGCUGGUCUGAGAGGAUGAUCAGCCACACUGGGACUGAGACACGGUCCAGACUCCUACGGGAGGCAGCAGUGGGGAAUAUUGGACAAUGGGCGAAAGCCUGAUCCAGCAAUGCCGCGUGAGUGAUGAAGGCCUUAGGGUUGUAAAGCUCUUUUACCCGGGAUGAUAAUGACAGUACCGGGAGAAUAAGCUCCGGCUAACUCCGUG